rnacentral:lncRNA from 1 species
CUCUUUGCGUCUCUCUGGGUCCCUGCCCCUCUCUCUGCAUCUGUGACCGUCUCCCUCUCCUGAGUCGGGGGGGGGGGGGGGACGACUUUCUGCGUCUGUCCCUGUGCACCUCUCCGCAUCUCUUCUCUGUUUCCGUUUAGCUCUCUGCCUCUCAUUUCUUUCUGUUUUUGCUUUUGCAUCUCCCAAGUUUUUGCCUGUCUCUCCGUGCGUGUCUCUCUGUUUCUGUGGGGUCUCUACCUCUCAGCCUUUCGCUGUUUUUCUUUGGUGGCCCCUGGGCGGCCCUUGGGAUAACCCAGGUCUGGCCUUUGUUUUGUUUUGGCACCCAUUCCUCAGGGAGAGGUGAGAAGUGGUGGCAGAAAUGGGGGAUGGGGCAGGGAAAUCCCUUUCCGAAGCCUCCUCUCCCCUCCCUCACUACCCCAAACCCUAUCUUGCCUUGUUCUGCCCUGCCAGACGUUGUAUCCAGGCUACAUAGCCAGCUAUGUACCUAACUGCAUUUCAAAUCGUGAUGCCUCAAUUUCCCCAGCUAUGAAUGGGGCGACUUUCCUCCUUGCUGUGGGCUCUGGCUUCCAUGAGCCAGCUGACCUGACACUUGGCACCAACUCGAGUGGAGGUGGACAGGUGUUUUUUCUUUCCCUGGGUGGGACAAGACAGGCCCUGGGAAAGGCCUUUAGCCUCUGCCUAGUUGGCACUGAUGAAAGGUAGCAUGAGGCUCAGCCUGCUCCAUGCUAAUUUCUCUCAUGUGUAGGGGAUUGGUUGGGGACUCAGUUUUACCCCAAAGCUAUCUAUGUCCCUUCUGUUUGGGAUUAGUUAUCUUUACCACACAUGUGAGAAAAUUGAAGUUAAGAGAGGGUGUGAGGGUUUUCUCAAAGUCACAGAGCAAGCUGGGCCACUGUGUUGAGUCCCUCCACGGUGGUCUUGGGCUUCAGCCUUGAGAGACAGGGAGUUUUGGAGGGGCUGCUGUGAUUCUGAGCUGCCUUGGGCUGCCCUGAGGAGACUUUCACAGGGGAAUUUCUGGGAUGUCUCAGGCCGAGGUCCCAGAUGGUGGUAGUGUGGCUGACUGAGGACCUGCCAGGGACCUGAGAGGGGAGGCUGGUGCUCAGGGAUCCCCAAAUGGUGUUUCUUCCUGUGCUGGGGUGGCUGUAAGGGUGAUCCCCCCUGAAGUGAGAGCUUGUCCAUUCCAGGAAGGCAGGGGUAGGCACUGGGCUAAAUGUUACUUUCUCAGCUAGUGAAUUGAGGUGUACACAUCUAGGGAUCUGCAGCAAAUGAAGGGUGAGGCUCUGAGCCUUGGCUCAUACAGGUUGACCCUAGGGUGGCAGAAAGUGAAGAGAAUUAAACUGUAUUACCUUUUUUUUUUUUCCCCCAGUACUGGGGAUUGAACUCAGGGCCUCUCGAAUACUGGACAGGCACAUUGCCACUGAAUUACAUCCUGUCCCCUUUUUAUUUUUAGACAGGGUCUCAGUAAGUUGAGGAUGAGGCUCUAUUCAGAGAGGGAAGCAGUGUGUGGGGGGAGUGGUCUUGGGGAAAAGGUUUGGUUGCCAAAAGGGAUGGUAGGGGAACCCUAGGCAUGAGAUUCCUGAGUUUGCCACCCACCUCAGGAGUAAAUGUGGAUUUUGGACUCUAGGACUCAGGUUCAUAUCCCACCUCCAAGCCAUAAGUUGCCUGUGAAAUGUGCACUUCAUAUCUAAUUCUGAGCCCUUACAUCUUGAUGCUGGGGGCACAGUGAAAACCAAAAGGGACAAAUACAGCUAGGAGCUGAUGUAGACAGUGAAAGCUAAAACAAAAAGUAAAGUACACAGUAGUUCAGAUAAUGGCCAGUGCUGUGGAUAAAAUAAAGCAGGAUGAGGGUGUGGGAGUAUGGGUAGGGGUACUUCAAACAUCAGGAUGGUUUAGGGAGGCCUCUUGGAGCAGGUGCCCUGGAGAGUAAUGAAGUGCAGUAGGAGCAGAAAGGAAGUAGAUGCAAAGUCACUGAGCCAGGAGCCUGCCUGUGAAUUGGAAGAGACCUUUAACAGGGCCUUGGGCCUGUGAUCAGAUGAGCCAGGGAGAGAGGAGGAGAUGUUGACAGAGAGGGCCAGACAAUGAAGACUUGGCUUUGACUGUGCAUGAGCCAGGAGCCCUUGGAGGAUCAUAAAUAGAAGGGGGCAGGGAGCUGACCAUGGUUUUUGCAGAUUCUUUCUGGCCUCAGAGUGGGGAACAGACUAUAGCAAGCCCUAGUCUAGGCAAGUGGCUGUGGAGCCUUGCAGGCUGGACUGAGAUGUUGGGGGAGGUGUUGGGGUUGGUGGCUGUAGGAUGCAUGAAGAGAGACUUCUGUGUAUCUUGAAGCUAAGCUAAUGAGGCUCAGGAAUGGAUUAGACUUGGGGUGUGAAGGACAAAGAUACUGGACAAAUGACCUAGUCUGUUCUGUAAAGCAGAAGCCUGGUAGGGUCCACUCAAGGGUGUGGGGAUACAAUACAGAUGUUCCUGUGUGCCUGACCAAGCAGACACUAGACUGUAGCCUGGGGCUGGCUAGUUAAGGUCAGAACAUGGCCGUGCUGGUGGGAAAGGGAAGCCUUCAUGAACCCCCAGGUGGAUGGACAACUCUGUCCUCAGAUGGGUUCACUGUUUCAGUGCCCAGUAGAGGACAAAAGAGUGAGCAAUGAAAAACAGGCUUGGAGGUACUGUGAUUAGUGCAAGGCCAAACACCUAGGUGAAGCCAGUUAUCCCCACCUGAACAGGGUGGGGUCCCUGUGUGCCGGUUCCCCAGGGAGCCUCUCAGGCAGACACUACAGUAUAAGUCCUCUUAGGUCCUUUCCUUGAUAGGCUGAGACUAAGUUACCUGGGAGUUUCUGGGUGGGGAGGUGGGUGACACCUUCAGGGGUCAGACAGGAAGCUAUCUCUCUCUGGGUCUCAGUCUGCCUGUGCCUACCUGAUCCUGGAUGUUAACCUAGACCUCUUGCCUCCAUGCUGGGGCCAUGUUUGAGGAGUGCAUGGACUUCCGCAUAGGACCCUGGCAUGGUUCCUUAUCAAGCUUCAGCUUGUGCCUCUAAAAAUGGGGGUACAGAAUACCAUGGGGCAGGUGGGGUCCUCUCCGGUGCCUUUACUUUUCUGAGCCUUAUUCUAUUUGUUACUAGAGCCUUGUGUAUGGAGGUGUUGACAUGGAUGUUGAGGAGAAUUUGGAGCUUGGAAAAGGUAGAUAGCCUAUGUGAGCCACACACAGGAAAGUCAGGGAUUCAGCAGCCAUCUCCCCAGUGACUGGAGGCACAAUCACCCAUUUAACAGUUGAGGACACUGAGGCACUGAGAGCAAGUGGACCUGCCUUCUUUCCCAGUACAUCAGCAGCAGAGACUGGAGGCCGCUGUCUUUGGUAGGCUCUGAGUGGAUGGGGCUACAGUGCCCAGGAAUGUGUCCCCAGCAGCCCUCCCUCCCCACAGACUGUGGAGCAUGGAUUCCCCAAUCAGCCCAGUGCCCUGGCCUUCGAUCCUGAACUUCGAAUCAUGGCUAUCGGCACCAGGUCUGGGGCCGUCAAGAUGUAUCCUUUGCAGCUGUGGCCCAGGGCCCCUGUUUGGGCCACCUGUGAGCAGUUCCCUGCAAGCCAGGCUCCCAGCCCUGGUAGGUAUUUUGUGGUGGCUGCAGUGGGAACUGGGAUCUUGGAGGAGGCUGGCAUUGCCUGUGUGCCUGACAAGCCUGGGAUGACUCCCCUUAGGGACCAUGGGAUCCUUUGCUGGGAGAGGGGUGAUGAAGGAGCUCAGUUUGCAGUGUCCACAGCUGUCCCACACUGUUUCAGCCAGCCAGUUUCCUAGGCGACCCUGCCAUUGUCCCAGCAACUGUGACUGGGGAGGCUGGGCCAGGGGGCUGGGCCAUGAACCCAUUGAGGGUGGUGGGUGGGCUGGGGGCCCUGGUAAGUUGGGUACACACAUGUGUAAAUGUGAAGACACGUGUGUUCAGCCAAGGGGGUGGGGCAGUGCCAGGCUCAGCAUGGUGAGUGCAGCUCAGCCCCCACCUGGAUCCUGGCGACUGCACAAUAGACUGUGUGAGCUGCACAAAGCGAGCAUUUUCCCUGAAGGCCCAGGGUGGGGUGGGGGAACUGGCAGGCAGCUGAAUGCCUCUUGCCCAUCCUAGAGAAUCCCACCCCAACUGCUCUGAGGGAAACUGAGGUGCAGAGUCUGUCUGGCUAGCAGCUGCUUGGUGAGCAUGCCAACUCCUCCCUCUCCCCAUGUGGUGCUGUGGGUCCUCAUACCUUGGUUAUGGACAUCAGAUGUUAGAAAAUAAAUCAGUGCCUAAAGUGGGGGAUUGGGUUGGGGGUAGUCUUCUCAUCCCAGGGUUGGGAGCAUUGGGCAGCAGGUGGGUGUGAAAGCCUGUGGUUGUGAGCUUAUUGGCUGCUCUAGGGAGUGCAGUAGGCAGAGAUGUUCUCUCAUCUCCUGUGGGCCCUGGCCCCUUACCUGGCCUGCUAUUCCCACCCCCCUCAUGGGUGCUGUGCUACCUUCAUACAUGUCUAUGCAGCCUUUUCUCCAUGUCACAAGCAUCCACAUCUCACGCAUUGGCUUUGCCUGCACGCACUCUGAGCUGCCCCUCCUGUGGUGGGUCUCCUGUGUGUGCCUUUUCAUGCUCACAGAGAACCUGAAGUGCCAAUGAGUACCCUGAGCCUCAAAGGGGAGGACACAGCCCUGGGUCCCUUUUGCUUCCCUUUUCCUCUAAACCCCCACAACCUGGAUAGAGCCCCUGGGAUUGGGAAACUGAGGCUGGAGAGGCCAGCUCUGGUCUCAAAUGCUGCCUCUGCCCCUACAGGGCUGGCCCUAUCUCCUUGGUGACCCUGCUUUCUGCCCAGCUGCUCCUGCCCCCACCCCCUCUUUGUCGCCUCCUCUGCCCCCACCAGGCUCCUACAGGGAAUCCCAGCUCAGGCUCCAGGCAAUGAAUUUUGCCUUGUCACUGUGGCAACAUCCCUAAAGCCUUUCUCCUGGGCCCCCUCUGCCCUGUUGUCCACCGUCAACCCUGGAGUUGCUACAACACUAGGGCCCUGGCACUGAUUGCUUCAAGCAGGUCAUCUGCCUUCUCUAAGUCCCUGUGUACUCAUCUGUAAAAUGGGUGGGGUGGUGUCCCUGCCUCCUUGCAGUGUGGACCAUUGGCUACCUGCCUGGAAAUAGGUGGUUUCUUUGGGCCUGAAGCUGUGCUAAGAGGCAGUUUGGAAUCUUCUCUGCCUUUGGGGUUCACCAUUCUCCUGUGUCUCUGACCUGCUUGAUCCCAACCUGCCAGACUUGCAGGCACACAAAUUCACUUGAGGCUGAAGUGGAGUAGUGCCCCAGCUUUGCGCCAGGUCUGGGGUAAUUGUGCUGGGUAGGUUUUUAUUUUCACUUCAUCUGCAGUAGGCCCAUUUUACAGAUAAACAAGUCAAGGUCCCACGAUAGUAUCCUGCUUACUGUAGCAGUGUGGAGCCUACACUCUGAGCCAGUAUACCUUGGGGGUAUAGAACUGGAACUGUUUCAGGGAGGGAGCCCCACUGGGUCUUAGAGAUCUAGACAGGUAGGUCAGGGCAGGGUUUGUCAGAAUAGUCCCAGGGAAGGAGAUUUGUGCAUUUCUCAUACUACAGUUUUUUGGCCUGUGCCUAUGUGUUCCUGUCCUUAAUCAGUCAUCUUCAGCUAUGGUGCACCUGGUGUGGAGUUUACAGGCCUACACAGAGAUGCGGCCACUGUCACCCAGAUGCAUUUCUUGUCUGGCCAGGGCCGCCUCCUGACUCUGCUGGAUGACAGUAGUCUGCAUCUCUGGGAGAUCAUCCACCAUAAUGGCUGUGCCCACUUGGAGGAAGCACUCAGCUUCCAGCCACCCAGCCGGCCCAGCUAUGAAGGUGUCAGGUACUAGAGAACUUGGCUGGGGCAAAUUUGAUGGGCAGGAGCUCCCAGGGAGACCAUUGGGAGCCAGCUGUGCCAAGGCACGAUGGUGACUGGCAGCAGCCAGUAGGGCUGAGGUUUAGGUAAGGGGUGCCUUGAACACAGCCUAGGAGGACCUUGCUUAGCUGAGAGCGCU